rnacentral:rRNA from 1 species
AUUGAACGCUGGCGGCAGGCCUAACACAUGCAAGUCGAGCGAGCGGCGGACGGGUGAGUAAUGUAUGGGAAUCUGCCCGAUGGAGGGGGAUAACUACUGGAAACGGUAGCUACUACCGCAUACUAUCGGAUGUGCCCAGAUGGGAUUAGCUAGUAGGUGAGGUAACGGCUCACCGAGGCGACGAUCCCUAGCUGGUCUGAGAGGAUGAUCAGCCACACUGGAACUGAGACACGGUCCAGACUCCUACGGGAGGCAGCAGUGGGGAAUAUUGCACAAUGGGCGCAAGCCUGAUCCAGCCAUGCCGCGUGUGUGAAGAAGGCCUUCGGGUUGUAAAGCACUUUCAGCAGAGAGGCGGUACCCGCAGAAGAAGCACCGGCUAACUCCGUGCCAGCAGCCGCGGUAAUUC